GAGUUUGAUCGUGGCUCAGGAUGAACGCUAGCGGGAGGCCUAACACAUGCAAGCCGAGCGGUAUUGUUUCUUCGGAAAUGAGAGAGCGGCGUACGGGUGCGGAACACGUGUGCAACCUGCCUUUAUCUGGGGGAUAGCCUUUCGAAAGGAAGAUUAAUACUCCAUAACAUAUUUAACGGCAUCGUUUGAUAUUGAAAGCUCCGGCGGAUAGAGAUGGGCACGCGCAAAAUUAGCUAGUUGGUGAGGUAACGGCUCACCAAGGCGAUGAUCUUUAGGGGGCCUGAGAGGGUGAUCCCCACACUGGUACUGAGACACGGACCAGACUCCUACGGGAGGCAGCAGUGAGGAAUAUUGGUCAAUGGGUGCAAGCCUGAACCAGCCAUCCCGCGUGAAGGACGACUGCCCUAUGGUUGUAAACUUCUUUGUAUAGGGAUAAACCUACCUCGUGAGGGUAGCUGAAGGUACUAUACGAAUAAGCACAGGCUAACUCCGUGCCAGCAGCCGCGGUAAC
rnacentral:rRNA from 1 species